rnacentral:rRNA from 1 species
CGAUUUAUUGGGUUUAAGGGUGCGUAGGCGGUCCUAUAAGUCAGUGGUGAAAGACGGCAGCUUAACUGUCGCAGUGCCUUUGAUACUGUAGGACUUGAAUCUAUUUGAAGUGGGCGGAAUAAGACAAGUAGCGGUGAAAUGCAUAGAUAUGUCUUAGAACUCCGAUUGCGAAGGCAGCUCACUAAGUUAGUAUUGACGCUGAUGCACGAAAGCGUGGGGAUCAAACAGGAUUAGAUACCCUGGUAGUCCACGCCCUAAACGAUGAUAACUCGAUGUUUGCGAUACACAGUAAGCGUCCAAGCGAAAGCGUUAAGUUAUCCACCUGGGGAGUACGGUCGCAAGAUUGAAACUCAAAGGAAUUGACGGGGGCCCGCACAAGCGGAGGAGCAUGUGGUUUAAUUCGAUGAUACGCGAGGAACCUUACCCGGGCUUGAAAGUUAGUGAAUGAUCCAGAGACGGAUCAGUCCUUCGGGACACGAAACUAGGUGCUGCAUGGCUGUCGUCAGCUCGUGCCGUGAGGUGUUGGGUUAAGUCCCGCAACGAGCGCAACCCCUAUGUUUAGUUGCCAGCACAUUAAGGUGGGGACUCUAAACAGACUGCCAGCGUAAGCUGUGAGGAAGGUGGGGACGACGUCAAGUCAUCAUGGCCCUUACGUCCGGGGCUACACACGUGCUACAAUGGAUGGUACAGCGGGCAGCUACAUAGCAAUAUGGUGCUAAUCUCUAAAAGCCAUUCACAGUUCGGAUUGAGGUCUGCAACUCGACCUCAUGAAGUUGGAUUCGCUAGUAAUCGCGUAUCAGCAAUGACGCGGUGAAUACGUUCCCGGGCCUUGUACACACCGCCCGUCAAGCCAUGAAAGUUGGGGGUACCUAAAGCAUGUAACCGCAAGGAGCGUGUUAGGGUAAAACCGAUGGGGCUAAGUCAAGGCCCAAA